rnacentral:lncRNA from 1 species
AUUAAAUGAACACGGGAAAUUUUUACUUUUCCUUAUUAAGUGACAAGCAAAAGAAGCAUCUAUGAGAGGAAAUUCUUUUUCAUAUCAACCACAAGUUCUGUUUGCAGACUUGAAUAUAUUUUUCUGACUCUGGAGUUUUUAAGGGGUUCUUCUGAAGUGCUUUAUGAUAUUGAACAGAAAUAUUUGCAUGUGCUUUGCUAUUAUUGUUGUGGUUAUCUAGAAUGCUUGACAGGAGUUUUAUGUGUGAACAGCAGAUCAAGCAAUUAUAGAAUGUAAUUCUAAAAAGUGUUUGCUCAAGGUAUGCACCCCCUUGAAAUGUUUUAUGGAGUAGAUCCCCAUCCUGUCCGUGGUAAGAAAUAUGAAGAUGUCCUUUUUCUAGGCUUGCAACAAGGUCUCCUGGCACUCCAUCACAUCAUCUUCAAGCAAACUAUGAGAAGACAAGACAGAAGUCAUGGUACAACAGAGGCCUGAAGCAACCAUCCACCUUAGAACAUUAGAAAGACUCUAUGUUUUAAAGGCUUACCAGCCCUGUGUCAGCAACUGGUUGGUGUCUGUCUUCAUGGAUUCUGCAAAAGGACAAAAGCAGAGACUUUGGGAAAUGUGCUUUGAGCUCCAGAACAGGGUACUUACCUUCUAG